ensembl:lncRNA
UCCGCCUCUGCGCUGCCGCAAGCUACUGAAACUCUUUGUAAGGACGGGGGAAGCUUGAUGUAACGAGUGUACCAAAGCUCACAGGGAUCAGGCUUGUGGCCAGGUGGAAGGUUUGCCUCCAGAGCACGUGGAACUGAGAAGGAUGCUCAGUGUCAGAGUUUCUGUGGAAUGGGUCAAUAAGCCCACCUCAGGUGAGGUGAGAGUGUCUUUCAUGGCCUGCCUGGGAAGCACUACUGAAUGUAAUGCAGCACUGACGCUCCCGUGAAUCGAUUUCUCAGAAUGCCAUGCCAAGCAGAUGAGAAGCCUUUGUCAGACAGUUUGGGUCAAGCCCGUCACCUGAUCCCUGACCUACAGCUUGUGGGAGCGGAGCGCAAUGGAUGAAGUCAUCAGUAAAGUGCAAAGGUCACGGGUCCUCGUGGGGAGAGGUGGUUGUGCAAGGAAAACAGCGUAUUCAAAAUAAAUCGUUAAAUCAAAGAUGCCAGCCCUGGGCACGUGUGUCUCUAUGCUGAGUCUGGUGCCUGUGCAGGAGCACAGCAGGGCACGGUGUGGCUGGGUGGCUGCAGGAGCUCUCACGCCAUGGGUUCGAAGUGUAUGGUCACUGCUCAGCAUCGGAGAAGUUAGUGUGCAGUGCUGUGUGCCUUUGCUUCCCUAACCUGGAG